rnacentral:tRNA from 6 species
GCCGAAGUGGCGGAAUUGGCAGACGCGCAAGAUUCAGGUUCUUGUGGGUGAAAGCCUGUGGGGGUUCGAGUCCCCCCUUCGGCACCA